rnacentral:rRNA from 1 species
AAUAGAUACCCGGGGUAGUCCACGCCGUAAACGAUGAGUGCUAAGUGUUAGAGGGUUUCCGCCCUUUAGUGCUGCAGCUAACGCAUUAAGCACUCCGCCUGGGGAGUACGGCCGCAAGGCUGAAACUCAAAGGAAUUGACGGGGGCCCGCACAAGCGGUGGAGCAUGUGGUUUAAUUCGAAGCAACGCGAAGAACCUUACCAGGUCUUGACAUCCUCUGCCAACCCUAGAGAUAGGGCGUUCCCCCUUCGGGGGGACAGAGUGACAGGUGGUGCAUGGUUGUCGUCAGCUCGUGUCGUGAGAUGUUGGGUUAAGUCCCGCAACGAGCGCAACCCUUGAUCUUAGUUGCCAGCAUUCAGUUGGGCACUCUAAGGUGACUGCCGGUGACAAACCGGAGGAAGGUGGGGAUGACGUCAAAUCAUCAUGCCCCUUAUGACCUGGGCUACACACGUGCUACAAUGGAUGGUACAAAGAGCAGCGAACCCGCGAGGGUAAGCCAAUCUCAUAAAGCCAUUCUCAGUUCGGA